rnacentral:lncRNA from 1 species
CCGAAGAGAAAUAUUUUCUUGGUAAAAAUUUUGCUGAUCAAACCAUUAAAAUGUAGAAAAGAAACACCUACCCCUGGCCAAAAACUUUACAAAAGGAUACCAUUAAGUUGUCACACAUGACCUUUACCACUUCUGUGACAUUUGAUAACUGCUUCGCGACUAUCUGCAGUCUAAAGUUUCAUGUUGUCUGCACAUGUAAUUUCUUUGGAGACACCAUUUGCCUCCUUACAAAUCGAUGAAGAUGGUGACUUGGAUUGAUUUACAUAUUGUAUUGACAUAUGACUGUUGACAUUGCUUUUUACUGUUCAAUAUUUGAGUGGGUCAUGCUUUGGUAAUGACAUUCAGGCCUUAAAAUAUUUUUUCCAGGGCCGUUUGACAAAAUGUCCGAUGACUUUGAGUUUGGGUCGGACAUAUGUAUGAUGACUUCAGUUCAGUUUGGGUCAGAAAUAAUAUCAGCACAAUAUAUUAAUUCUGAACUAAAUGUUGUGAAGAUAUUAAAUAAUUUGUGUCAUUCAUACUUAUUUCCAAGCCAAGAUUAACUUGCUUGCUAGUAAUAGCAGUACGACUUCGACAACUUAAGCCCGUUUUCCACGUCACCAUUUCGCUCGCCGCCCCGUGCUCCAGCGGUGACAUUAUUAAUAACAACAUUUCCGGUUCAUUUUUGUACAAUACUCAGGUUCUCCAUUAUAAUAUACGAGCCUCUAGUCCUGGACUAGGGUACAUUUUGAUUUACGUGCGUGGAGAAAGCGUCGGAGAAAGCGUCGGACAAAGCUACAGUUCGGUCGGACACCAAUUCACUCGGGUCGGACAAACAAUAAACCGCAGUUUCACUUUGAUCGGACAGAAUGUCCGGUAGUUUCCACUCUACGUCGGACAAUUUCACGAAUGGGUCGGACAAUGUCCGUGACCGACCGAUAUUUUAAGGCCUGGACAUUAAAUUUUUCUUAUCCAACCUUUGAGUUGUUUUGUUUUUUAUUUACCCAACCUUUUACUCACUCAAUAAUUUGUUUCCCUAACCCUUUUCUCUUCGGUGCCACCCCCAGGGAGAGGAGCACUGCAUGUUGCUAUAAAUUGUUAUGCGAAGAUUAUUUAGUGAACUUUACCAUAAUAUGUACAUAUUUGCAGAAAGCGUAAGCGAUUAAAGUAAAGUAUUUUGACC